rnacentral:lncRNA from 1 species
UUGUUUUUUGUUGGAUUUCUUUUAUGUCAACAAACACCCUUUUUCCGGUUCAGCUGAUGGAUUUGAUUCCUCUUUAAACCGGAAAAGUAUGCCUGGUUUACCUUUCUUUUACGGGAGCUGUUUUCUCCCCCCUUAUUGACGGUAAUGGUUUAUAAAACCUCCGCUUCAAGCUUGGCUAAGCCAGCUUCAUGCCCAGACAUGGCAGUUCAAAUUUUUCUGAUUGCAGGAAAUAUGAAUUGAAGUUUUUCGAACAAAAGCUUCAGUACUUAUGGGCGAAGGCAUAUUCAAGGCAGAAGUAUUAAUUAUCCUAUUACAAGGCAGCACGGUGCCCAAAUAAGAUCAUUUUUCUUUUGGAAAGAUGCCAAAGAUAGCUAUCCAAACCGGCUUCCGGUUCAAGCCUGCUCCUCAUCAUCCGCUACUUCAGCUUCCUCGUCUCUACCCAUUGGCUGGAAAUCAACAGUGGUCCAGUCGAUUCCCAUUAAAGCUUGGAAAACAGCCUCUUCAUGGAUUAGGGAAGACGGUUCAAUAUCAGGAGCGUAAGUGUGCUUACGGAUUGGCGGGAUCAGAUUCUCCGCUUCAAGAGUUGGGGCAGGCACUCGCUUAUUCUGGUCAUUAUAUUGUGCUUGAUAAUGCGUUAGGUCUGCCUCUUCAGCUAGCUGACAAGCCAGAGGGCGCACUGCACGGUUUAUUGCCCUUAAAUCCUCUUCGUUAAAUUCAGAGCCAUCUUCCUUCAGGCUAGGAUAGCCUUGAGAUGCUUCCACAGGGUCGAAAUCUGGCACCCAUGCCUUUGCCCGGAUCAAGGCGUUAAUAGCUCAGGUUCAGGCAGCAGAUUUCUUCAGUUCCUCCAUCCGGGCCGGAAGCAUCGACAACCUGUUAAUAGUGUCCUGGAUUAAAGAAGGUGUCGGGUUGUUAUGAGAGGCUGUGGUGAUGAUCCGCUGGGCUCCGGUAUAUAAUUGUUCCACUAAGGUGUAGGCAGCUUUCAGUUUCUUCCGCACAUCAUUUCCUAAGUGCCCAAUGCGUGUUCCUGCAACAAUACAUGGACGGUCUCACACCGGAUUUGCAUUACAGCAGGUUCAAAGUAUCACAGAAGUUAAAAGGAGCUUACCAAAGAUUGCAGCGGUCAUGGAGUGUAUUUGCUGUUUCACAGCCGUAAGUUCAUCCACCACCGGUUUAAGGGCAGCUUUAGCAUUUUCCGCUCUUUUGGUUAAAGCGGCCUUCUCAGUGGCCCAAUCAUCCCGCUCUUUCUUGAAGCCCUUUUUCAGCUGUUCAGCGGUGCUCAAGGCGCUGGUUAGUUCUUCCUUUGCCUUGUCUGUUUCAGCAUGUUGGGUUUUCAAGGCCUCCUGCAAAUCGGCAAUCCGGUCCUCUUUGAUUCUCACCUCAGCCUGCAUACAGACAUCAUUUAGCUUUCAACAAACGGUCCAAAGAAAUUGAAGUAUCAACCACAUAAACAAAGUUAUACGCCUGAUACUUGGGGGCUAAUGCACCUUCAAUUUUCAUCAAGUCAUUAGAUUGCAAAGUCCCAAGCUCAAUACAGGUAUUCAACUUGGCACUUGGGGGCUAAUGCACCUUCAAUUUUCAUCAAGUAUUAGAUUGCGAAGUCCCAAGUUCAAUACAUGUACUCAACUCGGCACUUGGGGGCUAAUGGCUAUUUUAUCAAAUUAUGUUCUAAGGAUAGUUUUUCUGUCCGAGCCCCGGGUUAAUUCUGCUAAGCUACAAACCGACCCUUGGGGGCUAGGAGGAUUGGUGCAAAGGCAGGCAGUAAAGAAGUAAGUUACCUCAAAUUUAUCCCUCAUCAUUUUUACCAGACCAGCUUCACAGUCACGGCUAGUAUAAAGCCGGUUUAGAUAGCCGGAAUGAAGAUAUUGGGCGCUCAGAGCAGCAUAUGUCUCCAGUUCAACAUCCCAUUUUUCUUUAUUCAGAGCGGAAAAAUCCUCUUUUAUGGUAUGCUUGGUUAAGGUGACAGGAUUCCCGGGUUCAGAGCGGCCUACACCGGUAAUCACAACAUCAUCAUCUUUGGACUCGACGGUUUGUGUUAGUGUGAUCGGUUUGUCAACAGGACUGUGGGAUUUAUCAAUCCGGACGGAGCUGACAGGCGGAUCAGCAGAGACUGAAGUAUUAAUAGGCCUCUCUUCGGGAAUAGCAUCGUCUUGUAAAGGAGGAUCAUUGGGAAUAUCCUCAGGAGCAAAUGCCUCAAGAUCUGGCAUUUUGUCAUGUUCUUGGGCUACAUCCUCUUCGGCCGCUUUAUCCAGGCGGGCUUUCUUGCUUGGUUUAGGUUUGGCCCUAAAAGAAAACCAAAGAGUCAAGGAAAAGCAUAAGCCCUUACACAAUGUAUUGGAAGCAUAUGUUCAGCUUAACUUACCCAAGAACCGUUUUUAACGGUGGCAGCUGAGUGGCCGACGAUUCACCAGAAGAUGAAUGAGAAGUAACCUGAUAAUUGGAGUCGGAUGGGUUAAGAGGUUGACGGAAGAAACCCGCUUUAGGAUGUAAAUCAACAAAAAGGUCAGAGACCUCGGAGCGGCGUUUUCGAACCGGACUGUUUGGUAAACCGGUGGAGGUAACUACCUGGCCACUGUGCCGGGUUGUGCAGCGAACUUCAUGUUGCUGCAUCUUCAUAUGAAAUUUAGGAUCCAAAUAAGCAAGAGGAUGAGAAAAUUUAACUUUCCGGUUUGCCUGUCGAGGUUUUGGCAAAGGUAAGAUUUCUGAAUCGGAAGAGAGAAUAGUUACCUCAACAAAUUCCGCAUUGCUGGCUUCAGCGUCAUCCUGACAAGCAUCAUCAUCAAUAAGGCGUGUAAAAAAUAAGCCAAGCGAGUCAAGUUCUACCUCAAGGUCCGGGUUACCCACAUCAUCAUCAAUAGCUGGGUCAGAUGAAGCGGUGGUUUUUCUCUUAUGAGCUGGCUUCUUAAUAACCUUGGUCUUGGGGCGGAUUGGCCGCCCUGUUUUCUCCGUUUUGUCUUGAGGAAGUUUCUUGCUCCAAAACGGAUUAUCGCCUUGGAUCAGCAGUAAUUAAAUGUCAAACAUAUAAAGCAGUAACCGGUUCAACAAUAGAGCAGUUAAAAUAUUACCGCUGGCGGUUUGUUGGUGGUGCAGUAAGGAGGCAGACCGGUUUGAGCACAGAGGUGCUCCGGUUCAUUCAGCAUCUUUUUCACAGAUUCUGUGACUUCGUCAUCGGGGAGUUGGAUUUUAGUGUGUCGGAGUGGGUCAUCGACACUAUCAGUAUACUUGCACAUCAAAUUGGAGCGCCGGCUCAGAGGCAGUAUGCUCCAUGAUAUCCAACAGCGUGCAAGAUCUAUUCCCGUUAAGCCGUUGGCCAUAAAAGCUCAGAGCUUGGACAGUUGCGGAGCGUAUUUAAUUCUUUCCUUGGCGCUUAGUCUUUGUGGAAAAGGGUGCGUGUUGCUGAGCCGUUCCGGACGGAAGCCAGGCAAGGGAUUUUCAUUGUCAGGGGAGGUAUCCUUGCAAUAAAACCAAGUUGCAUUCCACUCCUUGGGGUGAGUAUGGAGUUUAACAUGGGGAUAAGUGAUUUCCUUCCUCUUCUGAAUGGCCAUACCGCCCAGUUCAGUGUUGGGGCCAUCGGUGAAUUCAGUGCGACGGUUUAAAUGAAAGAGGUCUCUAAACAAUUCGACUGAAGGCUCCUCUUGAAAGUAUACCUCAGAGAGCACUUGAAAGUGGCAUAGAUUGGUAACAGAGUUGGGGACAAUAUCAUGUGGACGGAGCUGAAAAUUGGCUAACACAUCCCGGUAAAAUUUAGAGCCGGGCGGUUUGAAGCCCCGGGCCAAGUGAUCUACAAAGACCACAACCUCUCCUUCCUGGGGGGUAGGUGGACAUUCAUUUCCAGGAACCCUCCAGUGGAUUGUAUCUUUACUGUCUAAAGCGCCGAUCAAGACUAGAUCGUCCAACUGUGAUUCCGUGACGCGAGAAGGAACCCAAUUGCACUCAUACACUUGUUUGGCCAUGGCGAGAUCUACAAGAAAUAGAUGAUCCGGUUCAAGAACACGCUGGGUAAAAGAAGGUAUUGAUCUAAACUACGAUAAACCGGUCUUCCACAAUGCGGCAUCAUGUGGAUUCUGGCGGUUCAACCAGGGGACUAAUGGUAUACACCGGUUUAGUAACUUUUUUCUAUGAUAAGUUAAACCGCCUGACCUAAGCGUCGGAAGAAAUUGAAGCUAUGGACAACUAGGUAUACAGAAACAGGUUUCACAAGAUUUCAUUACAGCCAUGGAUCUACAGCGAGCUCACAAAACAGAAAAUAUUCUGAAGAGUAAGGCGGAACGGAAGUGAACCAUUGAGCGGGUAUGUGCGUGAGAUCUAUGGGCUUAGAUAAGAAAUAACAGGAGGAUGCUUAAAGAUUACUACUGAACACAGCGGGAAUUUACAGAUUCAUCCAAGAGUCGGAAUACAAGUAUGAGCAAGUGACGAACACAGCACGAACAUGGAACCCUAAGAACAGAUCUAGGUCAAUAAGAGGAGAAAGCUUACUGGGAACGGAGAAGAUGCGGAACGAUACCGCAGUACUCUGGAACGCUCAGGUUGAUGCAGCGGCCCAAGACGAAGCAGAGGUCGAUGGUGGCGGCGGAGCUCCAAGGCUGGCGAUGCGAGGAAGACGAAGAAGAAGAGAUCAGGGGAAAAGAAAGGAGAUGACCAUUCGGUCUUAUUUAUAAGGCAACGGAGUUAGGUCAAGCGCGCGGAUCCAGGAGGCGUUAUAAAUGACAAAUUUCAUGAUGACGUCAUGCCGGUUUACAACAACCAGAAAUGAUGACAUCAUGCUGGUUUACCAAUUACCAGAAGAUGUCCAAGACACAAGAUUUUGUGAAGGAUUGACAUGAACCAGUUCAAAUCAAUCUGGGGCCUAAUGUUGGGGAUAUUACCACUAGGCGUAAACCGGCCUACUUGGGCCGGGUUAACUUCGUUAGUGGUAUAAGCAGAUGAAGGCCCAAGGCCUAUAGUCGGUUUAGAAUCUGUAGCCAGAAACUGACCUGAUGUAUAACUUGUAUUGUAAGUUAGGAAUAGAGAGAUACCAACCGGGAUACGAGUAUGAACCGGUUGGGACUCUAUGGACCGACGGGCGUCACCCGUGUAUAUAAGGGGACGACCCGGCGGCGGUUCAGGACAGAUAACCACAACUCGAGCCUAGGCGAAGCUUGUUUUGCUCCCUAGCCAUCGAGAUCACAUCAAUUCCAUCACAACUAGACGUAGGCUUUUACCUUCAUCGAAGGGGCCGAACUAGUAUAAACCCUCGUGUCUUUGUGUCCGCUUUAAACCCCUUCAAGUAAACCCGCAGCGAUGGCACCACGACUAAGUCCUUUCACUAGGACGUCUGCCAUGACAAAUCCACGACAAUCGCCAAAAUAAAAAAAUCGCUCUUAUGAAAAUUAAUUUUGAGGCCAGAAAGUUCCUCAAAAGCACAUAAGAGCAGCUUGAGAUUUCUUGCCUUAUCUAGAUCAUGAUCCAUGAAGUAUCAUGUCAUCCUCAUAUUGUAGAAUGGAUAGACCAUCUUCUACCAAGUGUGGAAUGACCCCACUAAUUUGACCAUCCAGCUUAGCCCGCUCAACAAGGGUAGCUAGCAUGUCGGCCACAAUGUUAAACAUAAUAGGAGAUGCAGGGUCGCCUUGACAAAGCCCCUUCCUUGUCUGAAAAUAGUUGUCAACGUCAUCGUUAACUUUUAUGGCCACACUACCUCCAGAGACAAAGCUCUCUACCCAACGACACCAUUUUUGUUAAAACACCUUCAUGCGCAAGGUUUGCAACAGGAAGGGCCACUUAACUUUAUCGUAGGCUUUCUCAAAAUCAAUUUUAAGAAUGACACCGUUCAAAUUUUUCUGGUGCAGUUCAUGUACAGUUUCGUGCAGGAUGACAACUCCAUCUAAUAUGUUGCAGCCUUGCAUAAAUGUUGUUUGAGUGGGUUUACGACAUGAUCAGCUAUACCAUUCAACCGAUUAGUCGCUACCUUCAUAAAAAAUUUAAAACUUACAUUCAUAAGGCAAAUCGGUCGAUAUUGUUGAAUACGACUAGCCUCCUUAAUCUUAGGCAAUAGGAUAAUUUCCCCAAAGUUUAAACGAGAAAUAUCAAGGUCCUCGGAAUGCAGUUGAUUAAACAACUGAACCAAGUCUGCCUUAAUCGCGUCCCAAAAGCAUUGAUAGAACUCUGCGGGAAAGCCAUCCGGUCCCGGUGCCUUCUUGUGUUCCAUCUGAAACACCGCAGUUCGAAUUUCCUCCUUAGAAAACGGAGAGGUUAGGAAUUCAUUUUCCGCUUCCGUAACUUGAGUAAUGUCAUGAGUAACGGAUUCGUCUAGCUGAAAAUUAGUUUCAGCUGAAGUCCCAAAAAGGUAUUUAUAAAACUUAGUGAUGAAAUUUCUAAGUGGUACGUCCCCCUCUAUUCGGCCUUCCUCCUCGUCAAGGGCGAAUAACGCUUCUUUCUAUGUCUGCCAUUGGCUAGCAUUUGAAAGUAUUUCGUAUUAUCAUCACCUUGCACCAGCGAAUCCGCCUUGCUAUGUUGGUAUGAUAACCCACAAGUAUAGGGGAUCAAUUGUAGCAUCUUUCGAUAAGUAAGAGUGUCGAACCCAAUGAGGAGCUAAAGGUAGAACAAAUAUUCCCUCAAGUUCUAUCGACCAUCGAUACAACUCUACGCACGCUUGAUGUUCGCUUUACCUAGAACAAGUAUGAAACUAGAAGUACUUUGUAGGUGUUGUUGGAUAGAAUUGCAAGAUAAUAAAAUGCACGUAAAUAAAAAGUAGGGGCUGUUUAGAUAAAGAAACAAUAAAGUAAAUAUAGCGACUGUGGAAAAGUGGUGGUAGGAGUUGUGAAAUUCUCCCUAAGCAAUUGACUACUUUACUAGACCGAUAGCAAGUUUUAUGUGGGAGAGGCAUAAGCUAACAUACUUUCUCUUCUUGGAUCAUAUGCACUUAUGAUUGGAACUCUAGCAAGCAUCCACAACUAUUAAAGAUCAUUAAGGAAAAACCCAACCAUAGCAUUAAAGUAUCAAGUCCCCUUUAUCCCAUACGCCGCAACCCCCUUACUCGGGUUUAUGCUUCUGUCACUCAAGCAACCCACUAUAAGCGAAUCAUGAACGUAUUGCAACACCCUACAACGGGAAUCCCUCACGCUUGCGUGACACGGAGGGCACAAUAGGACAGCAACAUAACCACAAGCAAAUUAAACCAAUCAUAGCAAUUCAUCAAUCACCGGUAGGACAACGAAAAUCUACUCAGACAUCAUAGGAUGGCAACACAUCAUUGGAUAAUAAUAUGAAGCAUAAAGCACCAUGUUCAAGUAGAGGGUUCAGCGGGUUGCAGGACAGUGGACCGCUGAAUAUAGAUGGGGGAAGGUGAUGGAGAUGUUGGUGAAGAUGAUGGAGGUGUUGGUGUAGAUCGCGGUGAUGAUGAUGGCCCCCGGCGGUGUUCCGGCGCCAUCGGAAGCGAGGGGGGGAGAGCCCCCCUUCUUCUUCUUCUUCCUUGACCUUCUUCCUAGAUGGGAGAAGGGUUUCCCCUCUGGUCCAUGGUCUCCAUGGCGUGGGAGGGGCGAGAGCCCCUCCGAGAUUGGAUCUGUCUCUCUGUCUCUCUCUGUUUCUGCGUUCCCAGAUUCUGCCCUUUCACCGUUUCUUUUAUAUCCAGAGAUCCGUAACUUCAAUUGAAUUGAAACCUUCGCCCAGAUUUUUCUCCGAAAAUUAGCUUCCUUGCGGCAAAAGAAGAGCGUCAACCGCCUUACAGGGUGCCCACGAGGGUCAGGGGCACGCCCCCUGCCUCGUGGCCCCCCUCGGGCACCAUCUCGCGUUGGUUUUUCUUCCCAAAAAUCAUAAAUAUGUCAAAAAUGAUAUCCGUCUGUUUUUAUCCCGUUUGGACUCCGUUUGAUAUGGGGUUUAUGCGAAACAUAAAACAUGCAACAAACAGGAACUGGCACUAGGCACUGGAUCAAUAUGUUAGUCCCAAAAAUAGUAUAAAAAGUUGCCAAAAGUAUAUGAAAGUUGAAUAAUAUUGGCAUGGAACAAUCAAAAAUUAUAGAUACGACGGAGACGUAUCAUGGUACCAUUUAAUCUCUUCCUCACAUAGUAGGCGGGCAAUCUGCUCGUUAAGAUUGCUUUUUUUCUCAAUCUCAACAGCAUACAGAGGCCUCACCUCCGCUAUUUUAUCAAGGGAAUCAAUUAAAGGUAGACAAUCACUGUUUUUCUUUUUUGUAGAUGCGGCAGUAUGCUUGGCCCAUCCUCGAAGGAAUCAACGCAAGGCGCAGAUUUGUAGACUACUUUAGAUCCAGAUUUUUUGGCAGUGUGAUAAUGAAACCAAGAAAUAUAGACCGACUAGGUGGAGCGUAUUAUGCAGACCUAAAAGUCAAGGGGGUCUGGGAAUCCAAGACCUUGAGAUUAAAAACAUUACUCUUCUCAGCAAGUGGGUUAAUAAACUACUCACUGAGAAUGGAGUAUGGAAGGAAAUCAUUCGCAACAAGUAUGUGGGAUCCAAUGCCAUUUCUCAAAUUCAUUGGAAACCUGGGGAUUUACAUUUUUGAGUGGUGUCAUGAAGGCCAAGGAGCUCUUCUUCCAAUUUGGGACCUUCUCGGUUAUGGACGGUUCUCAGGUUCGUUUCUAAGAAAAUACCUGGCUAGGGAACAACUCACUAAUGGUGCAAUAUCCGAGCUUGUACCGAAUUGUCAGACAUAAAUUUGUCACGAUCAAACAAGUCUUAGGACAAGAAAUCCCUGAUAUUUCUUUUGGUAGGGAUCUUUUGGGCACUCGCCUGGCAGCAUGGAAUGAAUUACUCACUCGCCUGGAGGACAUUCAACUAUCAGAUGAGCCAGACACUUCUCGAUGGAACUUGCAUCAGAAUGGCAAAUUUUCGGUCAAAUCCAUGUAUGAUGCAAUGGUUCAUUAUGAUGUUCCAGUAGAUAACAGGAAAUUGUGGAAGCUAAAAAUUCCUCUAAGAGUGAAGAUUUUCGUCUGGUUUCUAAACAAAGGAGUCAUCCUAACUAGAGAUAAUCUGGCACGACAAAACUGGCAUGAUUCCAAGACAUGUGUCUUUUGCCAACAUGACGAGUCUAUCAAACACUUAUUUUUUGAGUGCAAGUUUGCUCGGGCAGUUUGGGCCAUGGUCCAAGUAGCUUCGAAUUUAUACCCACCACGUAGUGCACGGAAUAUUUUCGGCAACUGGUUGCGGGGUAUUGAUAAACAAUUUUCUGCACAUAUUCUUGUGGGAGCGGCGGCCUUAUGCUGGGCAAUGUGGCUUACUAGGAAUGAUGUGGUUUUUAACAAUAAAUGUGUCUCAUCUCCUAUGCAGGUUAUUCAUGUUUGUACAGGAUGGCUCCGUACUUGGUCUAUCCUGUAGAAGCCGGAGGACAGGGACCUUUUUAUGAUGGCGUCUACACGGCUGGAGCGUACGGUCAGGGAGGUUUUCUACCCCCGUAGAUGGCGGUGUGAUUUACGGAUAGGAUCUACCACUCCUUAGGAUGGACACGAUUUAUUGCUUGGCAUUGUAUCGAAUAUUUUAUUUUUAGGGUGCUCUGGACUUUUUGGCUAUGUGCAUCUAGCUAUGCAGAGGCCGGGCUUUCUUUCGAUACGAUUGUAUCACCUCGAUAUAUCUAUUCAAUGAAAAGUCCUUUGUCGAAAAAAGGUGCAUAACUCUAUUCCCUGUGAUUAUUGUCAAUAAGAGCAACCCAAUGGUUUGCCUUGCCAUGUCCUGUUCUUGUUUUGAAAGUAGUCUGCUUUGCUUAUCCAGUAUCACCAGUUAACUGGUUAGCCUGGAGCAGCUUGGUGUUGUACAUGAUGGUCUUACUGUGAAAAUGCCAAGUGUGAGAACAUUAGACUAGCUGUCCAUUUCUUGCCGGAGAUCAUGCAUUCAGGGAUGGAUCCCCUCCCUUCCUCCUCCCUCUCCUCCUCCUCCCCCUCGUCCCCUCCUCGCCCUGGGCGUCUCGCUCCCCGCUCUGUUCUGCGGGCCGGUGCUCGGCCGUCCUCUUCUCCGUGUGCAGGUGCUCCCCCUCCCCUCUCCCCGGUCUCCCCGCAGGUGGGGCUCUCCCCUCCUUCUUCUCCGCUUCCGGUGCUUGGGUCUCGCUUUUGGGCCCUUGCAUCCGAUGUGGAGGAGUCGCGGUCGUCCGCCUCCUCCCCUUGUGGUCCCGUGCCCUGUGCUGGGGGGGCGGUGGUGUCCUGUGCCGCUCCUCGCCUCCGCAAGUUCGCCCCGGGUGGCCGGGGCCGGCCGGUGGCUGCGCCUUCUUCGGGCGAUGGCUGGAUCCGAAUCUCGCGGCGGCGGCGCAAGUCUAGUAAGUUUGUUGUUGCGUCUCCUGAUCCCGGUGUCUUGGGCAGUGCGCCAGAUGGGGAGCUUGGAGGCCUCCCAUCUCCUUCUCCGACUUCCUCUCUGGCGGCCUCGUCGCCGGUGGUGUCGACGGCGGGGCCGUUGGUGGCAUCGUGUAACCUAAACCUAGAUCUCGAUUUCUCCGUGGUGGCCAUCGGGCCGCGGGCCGCUUCCUCAUGUGGGCUUGCUGGGCCUUGCGGUUUGGCGUUGCCCAGUGGGCCUACCUCUCCUCCCCUCCUCUCGUCUGUGGUCGACUUUCCCCCUCUUGUCUCGUCUGGCCCAGUCGGGCCCACCGGUCGGGUUCCUGCUCCUCAACCUCUUGUGGCCCAUCUGGUGAGUCGGGCCCAGGUGGGCACGGCUCGGACGGGAUAUUUAUGGAUCCCCCGCGGCUCAGUCUCCCCCCUGCUAGGGUUUCUGGCUUCCUCUUCCGACCUGUGUUGUCACCGUCUCCCCAUCCGUCGCCUCAUUAGAUCUUCCCCACCUCCACCCUUCCUCCUUCAUUUUGCUGCGGUGCUUUCCACGGACAAGUCGCGGGGCUCUUCCUGCGAGGCGCUCUCAGGCGGCAAGCAGCGCCGUGAGGACUCCCCUGCCUCCGCGGUGGAUCUGGAGCUCGAGGCUUCGCUCCGUUCCAAGUUGGAGGCGGAGCAGGCGGCGCGCGAGCAGGUGGCUCGUGGCCGCGAGGCUUGGGCUUCGGGUCCGGAGUGGUUGCAGCGCUCGCAGAGGGAUGGUGUGCCUGGAUCCGGCCCGCAGGGCUCUGGAUCUAGCCCUUCUCUCUGUCCGGUGCUGGAUCCAUGGGAGGCGGCGGCGGCCUCUGGCGGUGGAGUUUCCUCGUCUUCUGCCUCCCUUCCCGCUCCGGGUGUGGGGCGUGGCUCGUCUGCUCCGUCGCGUCCUCCGCCUCCUCCUCCUCCUCUCUCCAUUGGGGUUGUUGCUGGUUCUCACCCGCCGCCUCGGUCCUUCGCGGGGCCGGUCCGUCGGUCGCCCGGUCCGACCUCUGGGGCUCCCCUUUUUCGGGGAUGGGGGAUGGGAUCCUGCCUCCUCCUCCGUCGCUUUCGCAAUCUCGCCCAUCCUCUGCCUCCAAUAGCAACCCCUCGGUGCUCACCUGCUUCGCUUGCCACAGGCCUGGCCAUUUCCAGUCUCGCUGCACCAACCCUCCUUUUUGCCUGAUUUGUCGCUCUGAUGGUCACCUCAUGGUCAACUGCAUGGCUAGGCAGAAACCUCCCGCGGUCCUCCAGUUCGGCUCGGGCCUCCCUGGUUGCGCCUUUUUCGCCUUCAACGGUUAUCUGCCUGUCCGGGAGGUGGCUCCUGCUUUGUCUAAUGCUGCGAUUGUCUCGGUCAAGGACCAAAAGAUUUCGCCCCAAACUCUUCUGGAAGGGCUCCGCAUUUGGGAUGAGGCUGGAUGGGACUAGCAAGUUGUGCAGAUGUCUGACUAUGAGUUCUCUGUGGUGUUUCCCUCCAAAGAAUGUUUGCGGAUGAUUGCCUCAUGCACUAGCUUCACCUUGCCCCUCAAUCAAUUGGUGGUUUCUGUCAAAGCGGCUUCUUGCAAUGGUACGGCAGUUGGUCCGUUAUCCCAAGUUUGGGUUCUGAUUGAUGAUUUGCCUGUCGGUCUCCGCUCACCUGCUUUUCUCAUGUCCUUCGGGGUUUUGAUUGGGAAGCCCAUUGAGGUGGAUGAGGAAUCUCUGAACAAGGUCGGCCCUGCUAGGAUGAAGGUUUGGUGUGUGGAUCCUGAACGGGUGCAUGGCUCAAUUGAUAUUUUCCCCUCUCACAAUGGUAUUAGGCUUCGGGUGCGGGUGGAGGGGGCGGCCGCUUUUCAUGCCCCACCUUCCCCUCCUCCUCCUUCUAACCCUAAGGACAAGCAUGAUAAGGAGGGGGACGGAUCUUUGGGUGGCCCUAAUCAGAGUUUUGGGUCUAACCUCCGCUUCGCCCAAUCUGAAUGGGACGGUCUGGCAGAUUUUGAACGUGAGCUGUUUCAAUCCCAAGCUCCUUCUGGUGGUGCUCCUCAUGAUGACUCGGUGAUCCCGCCUGCGGCUCCGUUUGUUCCUGCUGCUGAUGCUGAUUUGUCGAAGUUUCCGCCCUGCUCUGCUACCCCCGUUUCUGGUGCCUGCUCCAAUCUCCCUGUUCGUCCGCUCUCCCCCACUCGUUCGGGAAUUGAAGAUCUCCCUGUCUCCCCGGUUCGUGAUGUGGUGGAAUCCCAGUCCCUCCGGAAGAAGAAAUCCUCAGUGCGCAAAUUCUCGGCUAAGAGCCGGAACUCGUCGGGCUUGAAGCAAUCCAUGGCGGGGUUCUGUCGGCGUCUGGAUCAAGAUUUGGGAUCUAUGUCCCGCUCGGGUCCCCAUGGUGGCUCUCCUGCUGCGCGGUCGCCUGCUAUUCGAUCUCCGGUGUCCAUGGCUCGCAAAGGAAGGCGGGUGGCGAGUUCUGGUGGUUCUAUCCUGGAGCGGGCUGAGAAGCGGGCUGCGGCGAAGGAUCUCCCUCCCCCAGGUACUUCUCCCAUCCCCUCUGUUGUUGCUUCUCCGGUGCGGUUGGUUCUACCUUCUCUUUCCAAUGAUCACCUUUUAAAUAUCAUGUCGGAUGUGGGUGUGGUGGUUGAUUCUUCUGUUGGUUCUCCUAGUUCGCUACUUGCUAUUAUUCGGGCUAACGAGAUGGCUCAGGCAGCCAUUGCCUCUCUGAUAGGGGAUGCUAGUUGUGGUCCGGGUGUGGACACAGGUGCUGGUAGUGGCCAGCCCCAAUCCAACUUAUCUAAGAGGGGCACCAAUAAGCAAGCUAAAUCCUGCAUGGCCCCUUGCAGGUCGAGUCUCCGAAUCAAGAAUCUUUCUUAUAAAUGAGGGUGUUAUUCUGGAAUAUUAGGGGGUUCGGUGCUAGGGGGCGCCGUGACCAACUUAAAGAGUUGGUUCAUUCUAAUUCUAUUGACUUUGUGGGGCUGGUUGAAACCUUCAAGGAUUCCUUCUCCCCUAAUGAUUUCUCUGCUAUUGUGGGCAUGGACAUAUUUAAUUGGCAAUUUUUACCUGCUUCGGGUCACUCUGGUGGGAUAUUGAUUGGCUCCAAUAAAGAUAUUUUUGAUUUUGUUGCUUUUGAUCAUGGGAUCUUUUGGGCCAGUGUUGUUCUAUCUCAUAAAGCUAUGAAUAUUCUCUGUGAGUUUAUCGUUGUUUAUGGGUCUGCAGACCAUUCUUUGUCGGCUUUAUUCCUUAAUGAACUUUCGUUGAAGAUCGAUUCUUGUAACUUACCGAUGGUUAUCGGGGGAGACUUUAAUCUUAUGCGGUGCCCUAAUGACAAUAGUAAUGAUAACUUCUCCUGGCCUCUGGCUAAUGCCUUUAACGACUUCAUUAGUGCUAAUGCUAUUCGUGAGCUUCCCCGGGGGGAGCCCGCUAUACAUGGUCCAAUCAUCAGGCUAAUCCUAUUAGAUCUGUGCUUGAUAGAGUCUUCCUGUGUCCCAGUUGGGAUUCCUUGUUCCCUAGGGCUUCUCUUAACGCCAAAUGCAUUAUCGGUUCUGAUCGUACCCCUUAAUUCUUGACGACGGUUCCAUUAGCCUUAGGCCUCCAGCUAGAUUUCAAUUCGAUGCCUCUUGGCUGUCUGUGGAGGGCUUUGGUGACAUGGUUGCAGCGAAGAUUUCCCUUUCUCUCUCCUCCAAUGCUCGCUCUUUUGGGCCUAUGGAUGAUUGGCACUCGUGCUCCUAUACCCUGCGUAAAUUCCUCAGAGGUUGGUCUCGUAAUCGUGCGGUGGAGGAUCGUCGUACCAAAUCUUUCCUCGAGGACCAGAUUUUGUCGCUGGAUCGCGCGGCCGACUCUACUGGGCUUUCUGACGAUGGUUGGGCGGUUCGCUAUAAUCUUGAGGCCGCUUUAAUGCAGUUGCACCACCAGGCUGAGAUUUAUUGCCGUCAGCGGGGUACUCUAAACUGGACUCUAAAAGGUGACUCCCCUACGGCGUAUUUCUUUGCGAUCGCGAACGGUAGGCAUAGGCGUUGUAGUAUCAAUAGCCUGCUGAUUAAUGGUGCGCGAUCUUCGGAGCAGUCUGCUAUUAUGGCUCAUGUGGUGGAUUUUUUUUCUUCGUUGUUGGGGGCUAAACCUCAAUUGGGCUUCUCUAUCUCUCCUUCCCUUUGGGACUUAGGUCUUAAAAUCUCACCCGAGGAGAAUGCCUCCUUGAUGAUCCCUCUUUCUGAUCAGGAAAUUUGGGAGGUUGUUAACACUGCCAAUCCCAAUGCUGCUUCUGGGCCAGACGGCUUCUCCAUCCCUUUUUUCCGGAAUUUUUGGCCCCAGUUGAAACAGCUGGUUUGUAAUGUUAUCCAGGGUUUUUGUCUUGGUACUGUCGAUAUCUCCCGCCUGAACUACGCAGUGAUAUACCUGAUCCCCAAGGUUAAGGGUGCUGAUGUUAUUUCCCAAUUUCGGCCUAUUGCUUUGAUUAACAACUUUGCCAAAUUCAUGGCUAAAGGCUUUGCAAAUCGUUUUUCGCCGGUUGCUCAUAGAGUUAUUAGUCCUUAUCAAUCUGCUUUCAUCAAAGGGCGUUUCAUCCUCGAUGGUAUCCUAUCCCUUCAUGAGAUUGUGCACGAUCUUCACGCUCGGAGAGCUAAAGCGAUUAUCCUUAUGUUAGAUUUUGAGAAAGCUUAUGACUCGGUUAGCUGGCCCUUUCUCAAGCAGGUCCUUCUUGCUAAAGGUUUUGACGGUGCUUAUGUUCAUCGUAUCAUGCAGCUGGUCUCGGGUGGCCAUACUGCCGUUUCGGUUAAUGGUUUCGUUAGCAAUUUCUUCGUUAAUGGUAGGGGCCUGCGCCAAGGGGAUCCUACUUCCCCUGUUCUUUUUAAUUUUGUGGCUGAUGCCUUCUCGUGCAUGCUCUCCAGGGCGGCCCGUUGUGGGCACAUUGCUCCUGUGGUCUCCCAUUUACUUCCGGAGGGUGUUUCCCACUUGCAAUAUGCGGAUGAUACUAUUAUCUUGGUGGAGUUGGAUGACGCCUGCAUUGCUAACCUGAAAUUCAUCCUGCUGUGUUUCGAAGCGGUUUCGGGUCUUAAGAUUAAUUUCGCUAAAAGUGAGGUCCUGGUGACGGGUGUGGAUGGGGCGGAAGCGUUGCGGAUUGCCAGGCUCCUUAACUGUUCUUUGGGUUCCUUUCCCUUCAAGUAUUUAGGCCUUCCUAUUUCUCCUAGCGUGCUCCAUGCUAAAGAUUUCGCUCCGGCGGUCGCUAAAGUGGGGAACAGGGUGCUCCCUUGGAGGGGCAGAUACAAUACCAAUGCUGGCAAAGUUGCUCUAAUUAACUCCUGCUUAUCCUCUCUCCCCAUGUUUCUUAUGGGCUGUUAUCUUCUUACGGAUGGCGUGCAUGCUGGCUUUGACAAACAUAGGGGAGCUUUCUACUGGAAUUCCGCGGAUAACAAACGGAAAUAUAGGAUGGUCAAGUGGCAACAUAUGUGUAAGCCUAAAAAACUUGGGGGGUUAGGCAUUAUUAAUACUCGGGUAAUGAACAUUUGUCUGCUUAUCAAGUGGUGGUGGAAAAUUUUGACUAGUGGGGCCGAUUCGCUGUGGUUUUCGAUUCUUAAGGCUAAAUACUUCCCUCACUCCAACCUUCUGUUUGCCACCGCCAGGCGCGGGUCUCAAUUUUGGAAAUCCCUUGUCAAAGUCAGACCGAUCUUUCUGGAACAUGUCAAAUUUAAUGUUGGUAAUGGGUUGGCUGUUCGCUUUUGGUUGGACUGGUGGUCUGGGGAUGCCCCCCUUGCUGCGAGCUUUCCGGUUCUGUUUUCCUUUUGUCCUAAUUCGAAUAUCUCCAUCGCGGAGGUGGCAGCUAAUAAUUGGGAUUUGGCUUUUCGUCGGGCCCUGUCUCCUGAAGAGUUGGAAGAUUGGCAAAGUCUCUCUGCCCUCUUCCCCGUGCUCUCGGAGUCGGCCGAUUCUGUGGUGUGGCCUCAUUCGGCCUCAGGUAGAUUUUCGGUCAAGUCGCUGUAUUCUAGACUUAUUGGUGGUACUCCUUCGUCCAGAUUCUCUUGCGUUUGGAAGUCCAAAGUCCCUCCUAAGAUUAAAAUUUUCCUUUGGCAAGCCUUUCGUGGUCGCCUUCCGGCUGCUGACCAGAUCAAAAAGCGCAAUGGGCCUGGUUCGGAGUUUUGUCAUCUUUGUGGGGCCUUGGAGAACUCUGAUCACAUCUUUUUCAAUUGCGUGCUGGCCAAGUUGGUUUGGUGUUGUGUUAGAUCUUGGCUUCAGGUCUCUUGGAACCCCUCCUCUUUUACCCAUAUUCGAACCCUAGCCAAAGCUUUGGUUGGGGUCACCAAGAGGGUGUUUUGGGUAGGCCUGGGAGCCUUAUGUUGGGCUCUUUGGACCAUUAGGAACAAAUUUACUAUUGAGCAUAUCUUCCCAUCUAAGCCUGCUGACGUUCUUUUCAAAUCAUGUAUAUUAUUGCAGCAGUGGAGAUCAUUGACUAAGGAGGUUGAUCGGGAUGCCCUGGACCUGCUCAUCGUCAAAAUUCGGGCUUCGGCAUCUCUCAUCUCCGGGCGGGAUCCCGUCGUCUAAUCCUGGUGGUGCUGUUUGCGGAGUUUAGGUCUCUCUCCUUUCCGGCCUGCGCGCCGUGUAUGGCAGUUGCCUGUAUCCUUUCCCUCUUUGGUUACUCUCAAACUAUUCGCUUUGUGCACUCUGUGCGUUGUCUUGUUAGCUGGUUUCGCUCCUGUUUGGUUUCCUGUGACGCUGCCUUGUGGCUUUAUUUAUAAAGUCGGGCUCUGGCCUUUUCUCUAAAAAAGAUGAUGUGCUAGAGACAUGCUUCUGUACUGCCUUGCUGUAAACAAGAUGGUGUUUAUUGUAUUGUCUUUUGAUGCACAUUUGGUGUAUCCAUGGAAGCUAUGGUCUUCUGAUCUGCUGGUGUCAUGUACACAGAAGGUGAACUGUCUUCACUUAAAUUCAAGUACUAAAAACUUUUGUGACUUGCCAUGGCAACAUAAGCCAACUUAGCCUGACAAUAAACAACGAACCAACAUCAACAUGAAUAUGAGGUAAACUCAUAUUCUUAGUUGUGCUAUGAUCGAACUAACUGGUGCCUAGGCAACAAAACAAAUUAGAAUCCAGCAGCUAAUCCACCCUAGUUGUGAGUAAUUCGUUAACCGAAAGCAGUUUCCUGGAGGGGAGUAGUGUCUCAUGCUCCCAGCAAUCUACAGCUUCUAGAAAACAAAUCAUGGCACAGUCAAGAGAGUCCUGAAACGAAGAUGUGUUAACCUACACCUGGUUGCCACAGCUGUUAACAUUGGCACAGCACCAAAAAGCCACAGCAGGCAUGAUCAUCAGCUCCUCACGACAUGUAGGGCGAGCUAUGAGCUCCCGGGAAUAAAUGGCAAAGAUUUACAUGCAAUGGGCAAUGCUGGUUCCAUGGACAUCCCUUCCCUGCCGGGCUGCAUUCCCGAAACAAGUUUUAUGUUGAGAUCAAGAAAAGCAAAAUUUACACCACUAACAGCAGCAGCAGCAGCAGCAACAGCAGCUUCAGUGCUGUCGCUCAACGACAUCCCUGGGCGGUGUUUGCACAAGAUCACUAUCAGCAGGAAGAUCGUCGCAACCCGCUCUCUCGAUGCUAUCGCCUCUCACCCAGUUUCCUUUUCUUCUUGCUUUGCACGGUCUCUCCAUGGCGCCUGCAUCACACACAAACACGCCGUAACUGCAUAGCGACGAACCUCAAGAAAAGCAGCAAGGUUUCGGAAAAAGUAUAUACAGCAAGUUCCAUCAUAAGAUUGAACUUUGGACUCACCCAUCCUGCAUCUGCUUCCGUUUUCUCUUGACGCUAUUCGGCUUUGCCUCAUCUUUGCCGCCCCGCCUGAACACCUCAGAAUCACUAGUGCUGCCGCCGCCACCAUCCGUGGCACAUUCCCUCGACAGCGCGAGUCUAUCAAGAACGGAUACGGAUGCAUCGACUGAGGUUUCUUCUGACCGUGAUUUGAAAUCCUCCAGCAAAACAACACCUGGAGAAGCACAAGCGUACGCAUGUUGCUCAGCAAAGAGAUUGCUGCAGCCAUGUCACAUGUGAUGGAAGACGCCGAUCAAAAUUCACAAGGCUGGUAUUCAAAUUUGUCCCUUGGUCGCUCGAAUUUCGGAGCAUCGAGGAUAACAGCAGGAACAGAUGAGCGUCGCUGUAUACGAUGGGUGUCUGGCAAAGUGGUUCAGGUAGUACGUACUGAGGGCACGCAGCGUGCGCAGAUCGAACCCGGCGGCGAGGUGGGGGCGACCGGCCGUCUCCGCCAGCUUCACGGCCAGCAGCUUCAGGCUGACGAGGAGAUCCUGCACAACACCGCCGUGGCGCCGUCAACACCUGUCGUCAGGAAGAGAAGCUAUAGUAGAAAAUAAGAGGAGGGCAGGGGGCGUCACGGACGAGCUCUGGCUCGGAGAGGGCCGCGAGCCACCGGGGCUCCGGAGGUGGGGUUUCGCCGGCGGCGGAAGGCGCCAUGAGGGAGUGGGGAGAGAAGAUGGGGGCGAUGUGUUUUUUUUUUCUUUUCUUUUUUUGCUUUUUUUGGGGGUAUUAUUAUUUUUUGCUUUUUUAGGGUAAAGCCAAUUUUAUAUUGAUCAAAGACCAUACUACCUCCGUCUCGGUGAAUAAGUCAUCCGCGUAGUUCUAGGUUGACGAUUUAACUAUCUAAAUAUGUAUUGUAUGUGACAAAAAAUAUAUAUAUUUAGAAACUACAUCCUUGUAGAAAUCUAGUGAUAUACUUUUCAUGACAUAUAAUACAUAUUUAAUUGCUCAAAUCGAUGACCUAGAACUACGUAAAUGACUUAUUCACCUAGACGGAGGUAGUAGUUAGUUGGAUUCAAUCCAGGUCGUGUGGUUGGUCAAACCACAUGACGGCGCUGAGAUAAAGAAAGAGAAAAGCUCGCUAAAUUAUGUGCGUCGAGAUUAACAACACGACCUACCAAAGUAAAGUUACAAUUAAAAGAAGCUGCUCUGCUUUUGAUCUCCUUGAUGAUGGCACCAACUCUACCUUGGCUCUUCUCAAAAAAAAAAAACUCUACCUUGGCUACAUUGCCUAAUAUCGUCCACUUGCUUGGAAUCAGAUGUUAUGAUAAAUUUGUGUAGAUGGAGGUCUCCCGCUAAUGAUGGAACUUCACGGCAAGUCAUGGCCUCCAGCGUUGUUUGGUCACGAAAACACCUCCAAUGACUAGGCUUCUUCUCAUGAAUAAUUUGGACAUCAAUGCACCUUGUGACAAAAGAACGCGAUGCAGACGGGCUUUGAAAGAUCCUUUCGUGAAUGGCCUUUCGAUGUGCCGACCAAAUGGCCCAGAGAGUAACUUCCAUCUUUACGAGCUGCUCAUGUGAUAAUGAUUCGAGUGGAGAGAAGAGACAUUGCCGGCACCAGUGUGGGAUGAUGGUUCGUGAGAGACGGUGGUUGGUGGUCUUGCCGGCGCCAAUGUGGGAUGAUGUGCAACGAGGUGGUGUGGGAGCUUGGGUGAAGACCCUGUAUCGGCCAUUGUGCCAUGACCAACAAUGGUUGCGGUUGUGGCCAUCGUUGACCUUUCUGUAGGCAUCGGUGUUGUGGUGUCGCACACCUUCCGCGGGGACCCGACUAUCGUGGCCUCUUCAGGGGAAACCCUUGAUCUUGUGAUCGGACGAUGACAGCGCCUGGGUGUGUAAUUUUUGUUAGAAGGGAGAGAGAGGUUUGGUGGAAUAGUUGUUCAUUGUAUUGCUUGAGCCUCGUGGGCAUAUAUAUAGGAGUACAUGAUCUACUUGGAGUACAAGACAAGACAGAAUACUUCCUAGUUUAUCCUAUGUUUCCUAAUACAAUCACGUUACUCAACAAUUUUCCCUCUUGGGGGCUUCGUCUUGAGCUUGAUGACAUCACUUGGGUGUGUAAUUUUCCCUCUUGGGGGCUUCAUCUUGGAGCUCGACAUCGGCAAGCAGGACCGAUGGUUAGCGGUGGUGGUAGCGUCGAAGCUUCUGUGGCAACAACGAUGGUGGGAGCGAUGUCGGUGAAGCGCCUAUGUUUGCGGUAGUCGACUCUUCUUGGACGUGUUCGGAGGAUUGUCUUCGUAAUUUGUUUGUUGUUGUAGAGUCAAAGAUGCGGCGGCAGGACCCUGUUGUGUACGAUGACCGGCCUGGUUUUGUCCUUUAGAGUUCCCCAUCAAAGUCUGGUCGCAGGUGGCUUUGUUUUUGCCCAGAUUUCUCGACCUGGCUACAUGGACGAUACUUAAUGGCCGUGGGCAAUCUAAUUUUCGCUCAGUUUUCUAAUUAACUAAGUGUUAUGACCGGUUUGGUCUAUACCAGGAAAAGUCUCACCGGACAUUAGUAUUAAGGGCUUGACCCACAAGUUAUAAAUACUAGUUGUAAGACAUCGUUUGAGAGCAAGCAAUAAAGAUAUUAUCAUCUUCUGUUGCCCGGCUCCCUGAGGAGCCGGAACCCUAGCCGCCACCAGCCAACCGCCGCCGCACCUAAACCCUAGCUGCGACGGCGCCUCAUAGCCGGCGCGCCCGCUCCAGCCCUCGUCUCCCUCCUCCCUGCCCAUACAAUCUACGCCGAAGGCCCGGUAGGAACCCUAGUCCUACCACUAAGCAAUUCUUUUUCUUCUUGAUAAGCAAAGUUCAUCUCCACCCUAGGGACGCCCCAUUAGUGACAACAGAAGCAAGUUCCUUUAAAAGGAAAACAGAUGGCAAUGGAAAACCAGUGUUUUGAGAAUACUGCAACAAGUAGACUAACACAAUAACAGUGAAGAUGAUGCGCCAAAAACUAGUAUUACACACCCAAAAGGUUCGGGGCCGAAUCAGGUACAUAUCCACAAGGACCAAAAUUGGAGCAAGUUUGGGGGUACAUAUCCGUUCCGUUCACAUAAACAUGCGCGGCAUUAUUGCUCAAUCCUAAGAGCUUCAACCAGAGUUCAUUCCGGAGGUUAAACACACCCAUUUUCACAAAAACUCGCGAAGAUACCGUCUAGUAGGGCUCCACCGGUGCGCGGAACUUGAG